AGAGAGAGAGAGAGAGAGGGAGAGAGAGAGAGACUCCAUCCACUCACUUCUCUCCACCUCAACACUAGUCCAGCCAAGACACCUCUCUCUCUCUCUCUCUCUCUCUCUCUCUCUCACACAC
rnacentral:miRNA from 1 species